UGAUGGGCCCGCGAGGGUUACUGACGUUAGCUAAACUCCGAAUGCCGGUAAGUGAGAGCGUAGCAGUGAGACAGUGGGGGAUAAGCUUCAUUGUCGAGAGGGAAACAGCCCAGACCACCAACUAAGGCCCCUAAGCGUGUGCUAAGUGGGAAAGGAUGUGGAGUUGCUUAGACAACCAGGAGGUUGGCUUAGAAGCAGCCAUCCUUGAAAGAGUGCGUAACAGCUCACUGGUCAAGUGAUUCUGCGCCGAUAAUGUAGCGGGGCUCAAGUACACCGCCGAAGUUGUGGCAAUGACCCUUUGGGGUUGUUGGGUAGGGGAGCGUCGUGUAGCCAGUGAAGCUGCGGUGUAAACCAGUGGUGGAGGCUAUGCGAGUGAGAAUGCAGGCAUGAGUAGCGAAAGAUGAGUGAGAAACUCAUCCGCCGGAUGAUCAAGGGUUCCAGGGUCAAGUUAAUCUGCCCUGGGUUAGUCGGGGCCUAAGGCGAGGCCGACAGGCGUAGUCGAUGGAUAACGGGUUGAUAUUCCCGUACCGGUGAAAAACCGCCCAUACUGAUAUUGUGAUGCUAACCAUGCGAAGCAUGAUGUGCAGGCUUUUGUUUGUGUGUUGUGUGGGUUGUGGGACCCGAUCUUUGGAGGUAAACGUGUUAACAGGUGUGACGCAGGAAGGUAGCCAAGCCACGCGAUGGUUGUCGUGGUCUAAGCGUGUAGGGUUGUCGGUUGUUAAAUGCGCCGGCUGUGUGCCUGAGACGUGAUGGGACCCUGUUUUUGGGGGAUUUGGUGAUCCUAUGCUGCCGAGAAAAGCAUCGGCGUGAGGUUUUAGCCGCCCGUACCCUAAACCGACACAGGUGAUCAGGUAGAGAAUACUAAGGCGAUCGAGAGAAUCAUGGUUAAGGAACUCGGCAAAAUGCCCCCGUAACUUCGGGAGAAGGGGGACCUUGAGCGUGAUGGGCACUUGCUGCCUGGAGCGUGUAUGGGUCGCAGAGACCAGGGGGAAGCGACUGUUUAUCAAAAACACAGGUCCGUGCGAAGUCGUAAGACGAUGUAUACGGACUGACUCCUGCCCGGUGCUGGAAGGUUAAGAGGAUUGGUUAGCUCUUUUGGGCGAAGCUGAGAAUUUAAGCCCCAGUAAACGGCGGUGGUAACUAUAACCAUCCUAAGGUAGCGAAAUUCCUUGUCGGGUAAGUUCCGACCUGCACGAAUGGAGUAACGACUUCCCUACUGUCUCAACCAUGAACUCGGCGAAAUUGCAGUACGAGUAAAGAUGCUCGUUUCGCGCAGCAGGACGGAAAGACCCCGUGACCUUUACUAUAGUUUGGUAUUGGUGUUUGGUUUGGCUUGUGUAGGAUAGGUGGGAGACUGUGAAGCUGUCACGCUAGUGGUGGUGGAGUCGUUGUUGAAAUACCACUCUGGUCAAUCUGGAUGUCUAACUUCGGGCCAUGAUCUGGUUCAGGGACAGUGCCUGAUGGGUAGUUUAACUGGGGCGGUUGCCUCCUAAAGUGUAACGGAGGCGCCCAAAGGUUCCCUCAGCCUGGUUGGCAAUCAGGUGUUGAGUGUAAGUGCACAAGGGAGCUUGACUGUGAGACUGGCAGGUCGAGCAGGGACGAAAGUCGGGACUAGUGAUCCGGCGGUACGUUGUGGAACGGCCGUCGCUCAACGGAUAAAAGGUACCUCGGGGAUAACAGGCUGAUCUUGCCCAAGAGUCCAUAUCGACGGCAUGGUUUGGCACCUCGAUGUCGGCUCGUCGCAUCCUGGGGCUGUAGUCGGUCCCAAGGGUUGGGCUGUUCGCCCAUUAAAGCGGUACGCGAGCUGGGUUCAGAACGUCGUGAGACAGUUCGGUCCCUAUCCGCUGCGCGCGUUGGAAAUUUGAGAAAGGCUGUCCUUAGUACGAGAGGACCGGGACGGACGAACCUCUGGUAUGUCAGUUGUACCGCCAGGUGCAUGGCUGAUUGGCUACGUUCGGGAGGGAUAACCGCUGAAAGCAUCUAAGCGGGAAGCCUGUUUCGAGAUGAGAUUUCCUGGCACUUUUGGUGUGUGAGGCUCCUUAUAGAUGAUGAGGUUGAUAGGCCGGGUAUGGAAGCGGGGACUGAAGACUCGUGGAGUUGACUGGUACUAAUAGGCCGAAGGCUUACUUUU
rnacentral:rRNA from 1 species